GCAUUAAGGAUGUGGUUGUAUUAGGUGGGGAUAAUGUCACAACUUGUGAAUUUUAUCAAAUAUUUGAGUUAUGAAUUUGAUUCUACAUUGAUGUAAAAUUUUGUAGAAAUCCCUAUAAUUAGGGAGAUAAUUGUAGAAAUUUUCCACCAUAAGGUGGUGGAAGGAUCUAGAUAGCUUUCAUACUACUAUAUUAUUGAUAUUUAUACAUAUCUGGACUAUCAAUUAAAGCCUUGAACGUCUGUAAAUAUGAGAGGCAAUCAUUUGGUUAUGAUGGAAGAAUCUAGAAAGUUUCCACACCAUUGGAUUGUUGACAUAUGUAUAGAAUAUUUGAAGGUCUAUAAUAUGUGAGGCAUCAUUUAGCCAAACUAAUAAAGCAAUUGUAAACUUGAGAAUUCUAUUAAAUUUUUUUUCUUUUGUGUAUUACUUACUUCCAACUCCAACUCUACUUUCUUGUGAACUUACUACUUUCAAUUCAAACUAUUUCUCUACUUUCAACUCAAAUUCUAUACUAUCUUGAAAGUUAUCAGGGGCGAGUACCACAUACACACAAACCAUGGCCUUCCUACCUAAUAUAUAUAUAUAUAUUAUUUUUGCUUUUAGCUUCUUAAAAGGUGGCUAUCUACAGCUACAGGAUGUAAAUUUUGCAAUGGAAGCCUCAAGGAAAUCUCAAAUUGCUUUUGCAGCUGCGAAUACAAAAAUGGAAGAGGCUCAGCAUAGAGAAGUUUUCAAUCAUUAAGGAAGAAAAGGAAAGUGGAUGACCUGGAUCUUUCUGCUGCAUCACGUAAUAUCUGUUAAGAAACAGGUGUUAGCAGUUCAGUGCCUUUGUACAUCUCUAUCAUACCAAUCAAAUUUGUAGAAUUCACACCGCCUUAUGGCAGUCUAUAGAAAUACACAAAUUGUUCCAGUCCUUCAUAUCAUCACAUUGUUGCUGAUCUAACAGGAUCUUUGGUUACAGGUAAACAAGUGGAACUACUGUUGUGGUAUCAGCAUCAACUUAUGAAAUGCUCCAUUUUCACACCCCCAAUCUCUUCUGUUGUAUUCUUUCUUUUCUUUUAGUAGAUUUUAUACAAUAAAUAAACAGAGACUUGAUCACUGUCUCAUUAUAUGUACGAACAUGCCAUUUGUUUCAUUCUACAUAACAAAAGUUUCGACU